CAUUAGAUAGCUUAAAGUAAGCAGUGGAAUUUUAAAUCAUUUUAUAUUAUAGUAACGAAUAAUUCUAAUG
rnacentral:tRNA from 1 species